rnacentral:rRNA from 1 species
GACGAACGCUGGCGGCGUGCUUAACACAUGCAAGUCGAACGGAAAGGCCCUGCUUUUGUGGGGUGCUCGAGUGGCGAACGGGUGAGUAACACGUGAGUAACCUGCCCUUGACUUUGGGAUAACUUCAGGAAACUGGGGCUAAUACCGGAUAGGAGCUCCUGCUGCAUGGUGGGGGUUGGAAAGUUUCGGCGGUUGGGGAUGGACUCGCGGCUUAUCAGCUUGUUGGUGGGGUAGUGGCUUACCAAGGCUUUGACGGGUAGCCGGCCUGAGAGGGUGACCGGCCACAUUGGGCCUGAGAUACGGCCCAGACUCCUACGGGACGCAGCAGUGGAGAAUAUUGCACAAUGGGCGGAAGCCUGAUGCAGCAACGCCGCGUGCGGGAUGACGGCCUUCGGGUUGUAAACCGCUUUCGCCUGUGACGAAGCGUGAGUGACGGUAAUGGGUAAAGAAGCACCGGCUAACUACGUG